GGCGGAGGGUCGGAUCAUAUUUCCACCAAAGCCCGAAUGUCAGGAUGAUUCGAUGGUGGAAAGGCACAUUCGCACAUGCGAACGUGCUCUUCGUAGACAAACCCUUUUCUUUUUUUUUAUAGAAUCUGCACGUUACGUCCUUCUUCUCAUGCAUGCUUUUCUCUUAUUUAAAUUAUAAGCAUUACUCAUAUUUUAGAUAUUUCAGAAAUUCUCACAUUUUAAACAU
rnacentral:lncRNA from 1 species